GACGAACGCUGGCGGCGUGCUUAACACAUGCAAGUCGAACGAAAAGAGGGAAAGAGCUUGCUCUUUCCGGAAUUGAGUGGCAAACGGGUGAGUAACACGUAAACAACCUGCCUUCAGGAUGGGGACAACAGACGGAAACGACUGCUAAUACCGAAUAAGUUCCAAGGGCCGCAUGGCCCAUGGAAGAAAAGGUGGCCUCUACCUGUAAGCUAUCGCCUGAAGAGGGGUUUGCGUCUGAUUAGCUGGUUGGAGGGGUAACGGCCCACCAAGGCGACGAUCAGUAGCCGGUCUGAGAGGAUGAACGGCCACACUGGAACUGAGACACGGUCCAGACUCCUACGGGAGGCAGCAGUGGGGAAUCUUCCGCAAUGGGCGAAAGCCUGACGGAGCAACGCCGCGUGAGUGAUGACGGCCUUCGGGUUGUAAAACUCUGUGAUCCGGGACGAAAAGGCAGAGUGCGAAGAACAAACUGCAUUGACGGUACCGGAAAAGCAAGCCACGGCUAACUACG
rnacentral:rRNA from 1 species